CUCCCGGGGUAGACGCCGCCAAUCUGGGAAGAGUGACAAUGUGAGUGUAAGACCUUCGGGGUUUCCGCUGAGCAACGACUGGUGAGAGGCGAGAUGCUUCAUGGGGCAGAGAGCAUGGACAUUUGCGGGGAGGUGGCAUCACAAGUGUUUGAAAGCAGGCUGGAAUCGAACUCCGGACCUUGCACUUGCCAAGCAGGCGCUGUGCCGCUGAGCUAUAUUCCCAGCCCUAACCUUCCCUUUUGCCUCCCAGAAUUCUGAUGAUUUUGCUAUAUCAGGACAUAGGAUGAAAAAAAAAAAUAAAAAAUAAAAAAAAA